rnacentral:rRNA from 1 species
CGAUUGAACGCUGGCGGCAUGCCUUACACAUGCAAGUCGAACGGUAACAGGUCUUCGGAUGCUGACGAGUGGCGAACGGGUGAGUAAUACAUCGGAACGUGCCCGAUCGUGGGGGAUAACGAAGCGAAAGCUUUGCUAAUACCGCAUACGAUCUACGGAUGAAAGCAGGGGACCGCAAGGCCUUGCGCGAACGGAGCGGCCGAUGGCAGAUUAGGUAGUUGGUGGGAUAAAAGCUUACCAAGCCGACGAUCUGUAGCUGGUCUGAGAGGACGACCAGCCACACUGGGACUGAGACACGGCCCAGACUCCUACGGGAGGCAGCAGUGGGGAAUUUUGGACAAUGGGCGAAAGCCUGAUCCAGCCAUGCCGCGUGCAGGAUGAAGGCCUUCGGGUUGUAAACUGCUUUUGUACGGAACGAAAAGACUCUGGUUAAUACCUGGGGUCCAUGACGGUACCGUAAGAAUAAGCACCGGCUAACUACGUG